GGUCGUGAGGGGGCUGCAGCCUGGCCGAGGGUCAGGCUGGGGUGCAGCAGAACCCGGCCCUGUGCGCGCCUCGCGGGGAGGUUGAGAGACCCAGGGCACAAUUCGGGCGGGGCUUGCCUGGUUUUAUUUACGCCUUAUAAAGACCCGUUUUAGAAGCUACUGCUGUAGUCCUGGAUGAGAGCUGUGAGUGCGUUGGAGAAGGGCGGAAGGCAGUAGAGGUGGAAACGAGAGGGGGACUUGGGUUUUGUUUCGAAGGGUUUGGUUUAGGGGGCGGGAGGUGUGUCAAGGAUUCCGAAUUCCUCACGUGACCAGUUGGAUGACUAUUGGUGCCACUUAGUGAGAAUGGGUAGGCUGAGGUAGGAGCUGAUCUGGACGUGUGCAUUUUGAGCUCUUGGUGACUCCCGCACGUGGGAAUGACAGGCAGAUGGAUGGUCAUGUCUGGUCCAUCCACAGAGAAGGGAUCUGGACAGAAGGUGUUACUUUGGGAAUCGUUGGCAUAUAAAUGGUAACCAAAGCUACCAGAAUGAACGGAACCUAGGGAGAGCGCAUAAAGCAAACUUUUCUUGUAAAGGGCUGGGAGCCAAUGACCCCUGAGGGAAGCCACAGAAGAGACGAGGACUGCCUCUCCUGCUUCCCCAAAGGUCCUCCUUCUGAAUUCUCCAGCCCCCUUUUCAUCAGGUUAGAUUCUUCCUCACUGAGGAAGAUGCUUGGAAGACAGGGCAGGACUCAGCCCACACAAAAGCCACCUGCUAAACUGGAGCAAUGAGUCUACUUCACAGCUUCCUGAGCUCCAAGAACAUCAUUCCUGGCACAAACCCCAUGACAGUGAACCAGUAGAAAUCCAUUUACCUUCCUUUGGAGCGGGA